GCGAAGUGUUUCCCAGCACACCGCCGGGAAGACCCAGGAGGUCCCCUCUUCUCAACCCGGGUCUCGUUCCCAGGGAUCGUCCUGCCCGCAGCAUGCCUGGAUGGGCUUCUAACCCACAGAAAGUGCUUCCCCACGUGCAGGGCAGCAAGAGGUUCCAAACACAAGAAAAUGUCCUGGGGCUGCCCUUCCGGUUAAAAAAGGAAACCAACCAGGAUGGAAAACACACAAAAUCUAGAUGAUACAGGAGUUAAACGGUGCAUAGGAGCCGUUUGCCUGAGACGUGCAGCCCCGGGAAAUGGGCCCUCGGGGGCGUGUGAGGUGCACUGGGCACCGUGGCCACUCGCCGAGACACGACUCCUUCCCUAGCAGCUAAGGCCUCGUUCGCGGCGGGAGGCUGCACAGUCCGCCCUGAAGGGACCUCCUGCAGGAGGCAAAGGCUCCACGGGACAGGCACCUUGGGAGGGAGGACACACCGAGAAGCUGCAGGACAGCAAGGCCCCGCGCCCGCCGUCCAGGGUCUGUGUUCGCGGCGGCGGGCACAGGUCUCACCAUCACCCCUUUUGGUGGGGGGAGGGUAGGGCCGGCAGUGGUCCAGGGCCAUUUCACUGGGAGGUGGGGACACGUUCCUUCAACGGCUGCCUUCACGACGCUCCCGUUGGGAUAUAAUUUUCUUCUUCAUUUUGAUUUAAUCCAGUUCUAAUCAGAUUGAACUUGCUCUUUCUUGGGCUUCCUGCCAACUGGCAGGACCCUCUCUUCCUUCCCAGGGAUGAGUCAGACUGACAGCUGACACGCGGAUGGAAGCCUUGUCUCCUUCUGCAGUCGGGCACGGGCGGGCGUGCAGAGAGGCCCCUGCCCUCGCGCCCGCCACUCCUCCCGGGGCCGUGGGCUUGCCCUCCAGAGACAGCACCCCGCAAGUCACCCCUCACUGCAGCUCCAGGCCCCCUGACCAUCUUCCUGCCAGCGCACAUUUGCAGAUCCUGCUCCUUCCCAUGAGCGGGUUUGGGUUGCAGGGCGACCACACAGCUGAGGGCUCACUGUGGCUCUUCUGGAUGACUUUGCAGAGAGUUCAAGUUCUUGUUAUAAAAUGGCUUCUCCUGAGCCGGGAUCAGCCUGCAGUAGGGAAGGGUGAUCUGGAUGUAGUGUCAGAUUUGCUCCUGAUCUCGGGGGAGGAAUGUGGAAACACACCUCUUCAAGGUUCAGAGCUCUGGGUUUGUCCCAGCUCAAAAUCAUUCAACGUACGUCCACCGGGCAGCGUCAGGAAGAGGGGAGCUGGGCCGUGCCUGGUCCUGACACUGCCCAGCAGAGGGGACACUGCACAGGCCGCUGGGCACCUCUGGGCUCCCUCCCUCCCCUCUGAGAGGAGAGGGCUGUGGUUGUCACGUGUGUUGAUUCUACUCAGUGAAUCCGUUCUGACAGCCCCCGGGUGAACCAUCGCCCCUGUAUGACAGCGUCACUGUGGGCCAAGGGUUGGACGUAAGUGGCCUCUCUCCAUCACAGCCACCUAGAGGUCGUGCUAUUUAUGAUCCGUGUUUGCUCAGACAGGUGAUGAACGUGUAAGAACACUGGGCAUCCAGCAAGCACAGAGCUGGAACCUCCAAACUUCUGCCUCGAGUGGGGUGAUGGGUCGAUUUCUCAGUGCUUUCCCUGAUGGCUCACUAUGAACACAGGGCAUUUUCUUGUGUUGGACACAAACUGAAAACUCUCCCACCCUCCAGGCAGCUGACCAGGGCGUCUGUGGUCCUGUGUGUCGUUUUAACCCGGACAGAGGAGCACGUGGCAAAGGUCCGGUGUGAUGGGGCCUCUCACCACCGCCCGUGGGAAGGGGUAGGGUUGGAGGCGGGGUCUGCCCUCUCCCACAUCUAAGACUGAUCCCGACCCCCCUGUGAGGCGGCGGCUGCAGCCAGAGGUGGGAGAGCGCUGAAGAGGCGCUUCCCUCCUCUGCCCGACUCCCCGACACUCACGUCCCCGGACGUGCAGGAAAGCCUCGAAGCAGCUGCCCUCCCCCACGUGGCAAGGUGGCCGAGUGUCACCAGGAGCCUUCAGGUGAUGGCCCUGGCGUGGCUGCUGGGGGGUCCGGAGGUGGCCACCCAGGGCUGCUCGGUGCCCCGGUCACAUGCUGCCUCGGCCACUUUUCAGCUUCACCUGAGUGAAGGCCGGAAUUAGGUGGGCCUUACAUUGGACAAAGUCGCAGGAAAGCAUGAUCCACGGCUGUAAACGUCUUUCAGAGAAAGACAGGGACUGGUCAGUCUGACCAGAGCCAAAGAGAAGUCGAAUUUCAGUCUGUUCCGUUUCUUUGCAUUGCAGCUCAAGUCCUCACGCCCUGGCCCAGGGGACACAGGGUGAGGGGGACUGAGUCGUCACUGCUAGCCUGCGGGGCCCGCGGCCGGAGAGCCCGGGCGGGUGCCCAGCUGCCAGGCUGCUGCUCGGCUGGAAAGCACCCAGGCCACAAAUCUCCAAUCCUGUGGCCAAGCCCUUCCCGCCCAAGGGGCCCGGCUGCUGGGGGCCCAGGAGAAGUGCCCAGCCCACCUGGACUGCUGGGGCGGGCAGGGCUGGCCGGAGGCAGGUGGGCCUGGGUACCUCCCGCCGCAGCCCACACCAUUGGGCUCCCCCUCGCACGUCUGCCCUCCGCCCAGCCAGGCCAAGGACAUCCCUUCGAGGCUCCCGAGGGGGACCCGAGUCCCAGGUUCAUCUGAGUCAGAAAAGAACGAAGCCAGAGGAGCAGACAGAGUAAAUAAAAUAAAUGGAAAAUUCAA